CCUCAGCUGCUAGAAGGCUAGGUCCCCCCAACCAGUGCCCCCAGGAACGCCCUGGCAACUGGGAAAUCCCUCUCUGUGGCUGCUGUGUGCCCCUGGGACCAUGUCCCCACCUCUCCGGGCCUUCUGAGUCACCAGCACAAAGUGGAAAUAACAGACCCUCACAGGGACGGCGCACCAGGAGGGUGCAGGACACGACACGGGAGCCGUUUCAACACACCCACGGGCAUCCGUUCUUCCGAGGCCCCACCCUGGAGCAGCAGGAGGCUCCUUCCAGCCUACCUACCAGAACCUGCAGAGGCCUGGGUGCACUGCGGGAGACCCCCUGAGAAGGGCAAAGGGCUGUGUGUCCAGGCGCAGGGCACAGCCUGAGAAAAGGCCAGGAGGCAGGAAAGGGCAGGGAGCAGAACGGUGAGCCAGCCUUCGGGGAGACCCCAGGGAACUGCUCCCCAGGGAAGGCAGGCUCGGGGGACCACCGGCUCUCAGCCCGCCGCAGGGCACGGGCAGGUCUCUGCAACCCCAGCUCCAGGUGCGUCAGAGAAUCAAACACCAGGCCUUUGCCACCUACCUGGGGCUCCUCCCUGGCUCCGUCUGCCCGUCCAACCCCCACCUCCUCGGAGGCCCACUCAGCAGCUCACCGACACUGUGAGCACCUAGCGGACGCCGUGCCCGGGCUCUGGGUCCGGGGUCUCAUGGGGACAACAGCUCAGUUCCUGGCAUGAAAAUAAAGUUGG